AUAUAUAUAUAUAUAUGUAAACCAGAACUCCAGUCAAAUCCAUGCCUAGGCAUUUAGAAUGGUAGCAAGAUGGAAAGGGAAAGGUCGUUGUGAAAUUAAAGGGUGGUAUUGAGAUUUGAAGGUGAUAAGGAAUAUACAUGACCAAGUUUGUAUUUAUUACUCCGCAACAUUGAUUGACACGCUACCAACAUCACGUGUGACCAAUAUUUUUAUCACUUAUUAAUGCAAUAGUAACGUAACAUGUGACUCUUGGAAUGUAGAGUUGUUGCUUUAUUGUUGUCAUUUACUGUUGCAGACUACAAACUGACCAUUGUGCUGCUUUCAUUUUCAAACUCUUUCAGCCUUAAAUAUAAUAUAAUACUGUACGACUAUAGCAAUGAAGUACAGUAACUGAGUUAUUAAUGUUCAGACGACACCAACUUUGAAACAACUUCAUUAAAUGUUAAUAAAAACGAUCAUGACAUGUUAUAACUUGAAAUAUUCUAUGGUUACAAAGGUAUUGUUACAAAUACCACACAUGGACACGAAUCUACUUACACUUACGUACCAUCUUCAAAACCAACACCUAUUUUGCAAAAUAACAAAUACUAACCAAACUUAUUUGAAAGUGCAUCAACUGAUAUUCAUGAACAAACCAUAAUAUAUCAUUCGAAAGCAAAACAUAACCAUUUCUACCUCAACAUGACGUGUUCAAAGUGCAAACAAAAUAGAAAGAAACAUGCUUACCCAGUCGGUGUGACAUUUUGGCUUUCGGAGUUCGUCUUCGCAGAAGAAUCCAUAGGCGAGUUUGUGGGAGGAUAGUUGUUUUCUUCGUUUCUACAAACCCUUCUGCAUGUUCUCUAGAACAAGGCAAUGAAACAUGCAAAUGGAUUAGACAGUAUUGUAUCAAUGAAU
rnacentral:lncRNA from 1 species